AACGAACGCUGGCGGCGUGCCUAACACAUGCAAGUCGAACGAAGGCUCCCUUCGGGGAUGUCCUUAGUGGCGCACGGGUGAGUAACGCGUGGGAAUCUACCUAGGUGUGGGGAAUAACUACGGGAAACUGUAGCUAAUACCGCAUACGCCCUCCGGGGGAAAGGCUUCGGCCGCACCUAGAUGAGCCCGCGUCAGAUUAGCUUGUUGGUGGGGUAACGGCCUACCAAGGCUACGAUCUGUAACUGGUCUGAGAGGACGAUCAGUCACACUGGAACUGAGACACGGUCCAGACUCCUACGGGAGGCAG
rnacentral:rRNA from 1 species